rnacentral:rRNA from 1 species
UACAGAGGGUGCAAGCGUUAAUCGGAUUUACUAGGCGUAAAGCGUGCGUAGGUGGCUCGUUGUGUCUGUGGUGAAAGCCCCGGGCUUAACCUGGGAAUGGCCAUGGAAACUGGCGAGCUGGAGUGUGGCAGAGGAGGGUGGAAUUCCGCGUGUAGCAGUGAAAUGCGUAGAGAUGCGGAGGAACACCGAUGGCGAAGGCAGCCCUCUGGGCUAACACUGACGCUGAGGCACGAAAGCGUGGGGAGCAAACAGG